GCAUAGUUUUGGCGAUUGGAUUUUACUGAAAGCACACCAAUUCACCCCUCCUACCAUAUUAUGAUGAUGACCAAGUUUUUAGCUCACUCCGGUAACUUUUGGCCAUAAUCCGAUAUCGAUUGAACGAAGAAAUCGGACAAUUCAAGUCCGUACGAAGUUCGUUCCGUAAAUGGAGUGGUUAGUGUAGGUUUUGCCAUUGGAUUUCACUCAAAAGUCACG
rnacentral:lncRNA from 1 species